rnacentral:rRNA from 1 species
CCUACGGGUGGCAGCAGUGAGGAAUAUUGGUCAAUGGACGAGAGUCUGAACCAGCCAAGUAGCGUGAAGGAUGACUGCCCUAUGGGUUGUAAACUUCUUUUAUAUGGGAAUAAAAUGUUCCACGUGUGGGAUUUUGUAUGUACCAUAUGAAUAAGGAUCGGCUAACUCCGUGCCAGCAGCCGCGGUAAUACGGAGGAUCCGAGCGUUAUCCGGAUUUAUUGGGUUUAAAGGGAGCGUAGGUGGAUUGUUAAGUCAGUUGUGAAAGUUUGCGGCUCAACCGUAAAAUUGCAGUUGAAACUGGCAGUCUUGAGUACAGUAGAGGUGGGCGGAAUUCGUGGUGUAGCGGUGAAAUGCUUAGAUAUAACGAAGAACUCCGAUUGCGAAGGCAGUUCACUGGACUGCAACUGACACUGAGGCUCGAAAGUGUGGGUAUCAAACAGGAUUAGAUACCCGUGUAGUC